GGGGGGGGGGGAGGAAGCCUCCGAUCGAUCGACCGGGAUCGGAAUCGGUGGGAGCGAUCCUUAGCGAGAUCAGGGAGCCUUGUUGAGACGAUUUGGGCGUGGUGUGGCGAUAGUUUCGAUUUGGUUGGUAUUUCCGAGGUUUUCCGGUGCUCGAUCUCGUAAAGGAGUUAGCAACUGGUCUAAAAAACUUCAGAUCAUUCGAUAAUCACCGCAUUUUCAAGUGAGAAUGUCGUAGGAAAUGCCAAGAAUGUAGGUUGCAUGGGUUUAAGACAACUGAGCAGUCUCUGGCUGAACUGCUUUGGCUGAGAUAAACAGGGCAAGUUGUUUCCUUUUGACUGCGAUUUUGACCUUAUUUCAAGAAUGAUUAGGGUGCGCAGCUUCAAUUUUCAAAUUCAUGGGCUGGACAGUUAUAUAUGACUUCCGGCCAGCCUUUGCUCUUGUCGUCAUCUUAUGCAGCAGAAUCAUCAAAAUCUCAACCAACCAUUAGUUCGUUUGGCUGUCUCUGCCCUUCCAGCUCGUUGUCUUCUCCCAAAUUUGAGUACUGCCACAGUCGUACUGUGAGCUUUGCUGAUGAAGAAGGAGAAGCCAUUUCUGUUGGAUAUAGCACCUGUUCUCAGAGAAAUAUAGAGAACUCAUUUUCAAGCAGGAGAACCAGUCGUUUCUUUUCGGCUGAUUCUCAAUUUUCUCAGCAUUUUGUACUGGAAUGCUCAGAAGAAGACGAAGAACAUACGCAGCUCGCAUACAGGGGUUCGAUGAAUCUACAGCGCUUUCCUUCUUCCCAUGAAAUUUCAAUGGCUUCAGUUGGGCAGGAGAAGCCGAACAAAUCUCAGCGGGUCCGCCACAAAAGUACACAGUUUGAAGAUCCAUUUACGUCAGAGGACAAUCCAAGAUUCAUAUAUAUUAAUGACCCAAGGAGGACAAAUGAUAAGUAUGAGUUUACAGGAAAUGAGAUACGGACAAGCAAAUAUACCUUGAUAACUUUUCUGCCAAAAAACCUAUUCAUUCAGUUUCACCGAUUAGCUUACUUGUAUUUCUUGGCCAUUGCUGCUUUAAAUCAGCUUCCUCCUUUGGCUGUAUUUGGGAGAACAGUCUCUUUGUUUCCCCUACUAUUUGUGCUCUUUGUAACUGCUAUUAAGGAUGGAUAUGAAGAUUGGCGGCGGCAUAGAUCUGAUAGGAAGGAAAACAAUCGAGAGGCCCUUGUCCUGCAAUCUGGCGAAUUUAGAAUGAAGAAAUGGAAAAAGAUAUGUGCUGGAGAGGUGGUGAAGAUUCAUUCUGAUGAAACAAUACCUUGUGAUAUGGUCCUUUUAGGGACCAGCGAUCCAAAUGGAAUAGCAUAUAUACAGACUAUGAAUUUAGACGGUGAGUCCAACCUAAAGACAAGAUAUGCUCGGCAGGAAACUGUUUCUAUGGUCACUGAAGGGGGUUCCUUCUCAGGGCUAAUAAGGUGUGAGCAGCCUAAUAGGAAUAUCUAUGAAUUUAUGGCCACCAUGGAGUUCAAUGGUCAGAGAAUUCCCCUCGGCCAGUCAAAUAUUGUUUUACGUGGCUGUCAGCUUAAGAACACAGAUUGGGUCAUCGGUGUUGUGGUUUAUGCUGGUCAGGAAACAAAAGCAAUGUUGAACAGUACAGCAUCGCCUUCUAAAAGAAGCAGGUUGGAGAGCUACAUGAACAGAGAAACCCUUUGGUUGUCAGUUUUUCUUUUUGUGAUGUGUGCGGUUGUGGCAACUGGAAUGGGGCUAUGGCUUGAAAUUCACGCUGAUCGGCUUGAUACUCUACCAUACUACAGAAAAAAGUACUUCACACAUGGCCGUGAGAAUGGGAAGGACUACAAAUACUACGGUCUUGCUAUGGAAAUAUUUUUUGCCUUUUUGAGCUCUGUUAUAAUCUUCCAAAUAAUGAUACCUAUAUCUUUAUACAUCACAAUGGAGCUGGUUCGGUUGGGGCAGUCAUAUUUUAUGAUUGAAGAUAGACGAAUGUAUGAUGGUACUUCGGAUUCAAGAUUUCAAUGCAGAUCUUUGAAUAUCAAUGAGGACUUGGGUCAGAUCAAGUACAUAUUCUCUGAUAAGACAGGGACAUUGACCGAAAAUAAAAUGGAAUUUCGGAGGGCUAGCAUUUAUGGGAGGGAUUAUGGGAAUUCCUUGCAUGUUACUGGCCAUCCAUCUGAUGAAACAGACACCUCAGGAUUACUUGGAGAACAGAGAAAGAAGCUCAAGUCUGAAAUUGAUGUUGACCCAGACCUGGUGUCACUAUUGCACAGAGACCUGGUUGAAGAGGAAAGACUUGCCGCUCAUGAUUUUUUCCUUACUUUGGCAGCUUGCAACACAGUUAUCCCAAUGAGUGCACGGAGUUCAUCUCCUACUUCAACAAGUGAAGUCCAUGAGGUAGAAGCGAUACAUUAUCAGGGCGAGUCUCCUGAUGAGCUAGCUUUGGUAAAUGCUGCUGCUGCUUAUGGAUACACUCUUCUUGAGAGGACGACCGGUCAUAUUGUUAUUGCUGUUAAUGGUGAGAGGAUGAGGUUAGAAGUUCUUGGUCUCCAUGAAUUUGAUAGCGUGAGAAAAAGAAUGUCUGUGGUCAUAAGGCUUCCUAAUAAUGCUGUAAAGGUUCUUGUGAAGGGUGCCGAUACAUCCAUGCUAAGUAUUCUCGACAAAAAGUGUGAUAAUACUAAUGGUAAUUCCUUACCUGCCAAAAUAAGACAUGCAACAGAGACCCAUCUCUAUGGUUAUUCGUCACAAGGCUUACGAACACUAGUAAUUGGUUCAAGGGAUCUGACUGAUGCCGAGUUUGCAGAAUGGCAGGAGAAGUAUGAAGAAGCUAGCACUUCUAUCACCGACAGGUCAGCGAAGUUACGCCAAACUGCUGCCCUAAUUGAGUGCAAUUUAAAUCUUCUUGGGGCUACUGGGAUUGAAGAUAAAUUACAAGAUGGUGUUCCUGAAACCAUUGAAUCUCUUAGGCAAGCAGGAAUUAAGGUUUGGGUUUUAACAGGUGAUAAGCAGGAGACUGCAAUAUCAAUAGGCCUCUCAUGCCGGCUGCUGACCCAAAGUAUGCAGCAAGUUAUUAUAAAUGGUACUUCCGAGGAUGAGUGCAGAUGCCUUUUACUUGAUGCUAAAGCCAGAUAUUGUAUAAAGUCUUCAGAGAAUGUAAAUGGAACUGUUAACCUGAAGAGUGACUUGAAUAGAGAAUAUCUUGACACUCCUAAGUUGAGUUCCAAUGGUUCAAUACAUGAAAAUGGUCUUAGAUAUAGUGGAGCAGCUGCUGAUACAGUUGAUACCCAACUUGCACUCAUAAUUGAUGGGACCAGUCUUGUCUAUAUAUUAGAGAAAGAUCUUGAGUCAGAGUUGUUUGAUCUGGCAACAUCUUGUGCGGUUGUGCUUUGUUGUCGUGUGGCUCCUUUGCAAAAAGCUGGAAUAGUUGAUCUGAUCAAAAGCAGGACCAAUGACAUGACUCUAGCAAUUGGAGAUGGAGCGAAUGAUGUUUCAAUGAUCCAGAUGGCUGAUGUUGGAGUGGGGAUAUGCGGCCAGGAAGGUCGGCAAGCUGUGAUGGCAUCAGAUUUUGCUAUGGGGCAGUUCCGUUUUUUGAAAAGAUUGCUUCUUGUACACGGGCACUGGAAUUACCAGCGCGUUGGCUAUUUGGUCCUGUACAACUUCUACCGCAAUGCUGUAUUUGUUCUAAUGCUCUUCUGGUAUAUCUUAUGCACCGCAUUUUCAGCAACUCAAGCUUUGACGGAUUGGAGCAGCGUCUUCUAUUCUGUAAUCUAUACAUCUGUGCCAACUAUUGUGGUUGGGAUUCUCGACAAAGAUUUAAGCCAUAAGACACUCCUCCAUUACCCAAAACUUUAUGAAGCCGGGCAUAGGCAGGAGAGCUAUAACCAGCAACUCUUUUGGAUUACAAUGCUCGAUACAUUGUGGCAAAGUCUUGUUCUGUUUUAUGUCCCUUUCUUCAUCUACAGAAACAGCACAAUUGAUAUAUGGAGUCUGGGUAGUUUAUGGACUCUUGCGGUAGUUGUUCUUGUCAAUGUUCAUUUGGCAAUGGAUAUCCGGCGUUGGGUAUUUAUUACUCAUGUUGCUAUAUGGGGUUCAAUUAUUAUUACUUUUAUGUGCAUGGUGAUCAUAGACUCCAUUCCUGUUUUCCCCAACUACUGGACAAUAUAUAAUCUUGCUAGUUCAAGGACUUACUGGCUCAGCAUUAUUCUUAUAGCAAUUAUAGCGUUGCUCCCUCGGUUUCUUUUCAAAGUUAUCUAUCAGAUAUUUUGGCCUUCUGAUAUUCAGAUAGCUAGGGAAGCUGAAAUUCUGAGGAAGCUACCCAAGCAAUUAGGUGUGAAGCCCAAUAAUGACAUCAGCUAACAACUGUGGUUUUUCUAGUACUUCAUUUCUGAGCUUCUUUCCAAUGGCUUCUCGGCGAAAAAAGGCGAUAUCGGUCUGCUGUUGGGGUAAAGUAGGAGGGGAGCUCAAACACUGCGACGGAAAAAAAGCCUCCAAGCCAUUCUUCUUUUUAUGUUCUCGAAGUGCUUCGGGGGCUUCCGCGAUCGCAAAACGUUUACUGUACAGAUAAAGACGGGAACAAAAACAUAAACACGAUGGAAUUCCUAAAGCUGGGGGAAAUAGUGGUGGGAAGAGAUUUAUGCAGUAAGAGUACAUAGUUUGCGCGGAUACUUCACAUGGUUUCUUCUUCUUCUUCUUCUUUAAUCUUCUCUUUACUUUCUUUUUUAUAUGUUCUCUCUUCUUGUACCAUUGAGUAAAUCUAUUCAGAUUUUAUUUGGUAAUUAGAGUUUUAACCUUUUUUCUUUUCCUUUCCUAUAUUCAAUAUAAAAAAGUAUAUGGUGGUUGAACAAUCCAUUCCACUCUA